GAUAAACGCUGGCGGCGUGCAUAACACAUGCAAGUCGAACGAUGAAGCUUAGAUGAUUUCUUCGGAAUGAAUUUAAGUGGAUUAGUGGCGAACGGGUGAGUAACACGUGAGUAACCUGCCUUACACGAGGGGAUAGCCUCUGGAAACGGAGAAUAAUACCCUAUGAUGUCUAAUCAGCUCCUGCUGGAAAGACCAGAGAUUUAUCGGUGUAAGAUGGACUUGCGUCUGAUUAGCUAGUUGGUGAGAUAAAAGCUCACCAAGGCGACGAUCAGUAGCCGGCUUGAGAGAGUGUACGGCCACAUUGGACUGAGACACGGCCCAAACUCCUACGGGAGGCAGCAGUGGGGAAUUUUGCACAAUGGGGGAAACCCUGAUGCAGCGACGCCGCGUGAUUUAGAAGGCCUUCGGGUUGUAAAAAUCUUUUUUACGGGAUGAAAAUGACAGUACCGUAAGAAUAAGGUCCGGCUAAAUACGUGCCAGCAGCCGCGGUAAUACGUAUGGACCGAGCGUUGUCCGGAAUCAUUGGGCGUAAAGGGUACGUAGGCGGCCUAGUAAGUUAGAAGUGAAAGAAUAUAGCUCAACUAUAUAAAGCUUUUAAAACUGUUAGGCUUGAGAGAUGAAAGGGAAAGUGGAAUUCCUAGUGUAGCGGUGAAAUGCGCAGAUAUUAGGAAGAAUACCGGUGGCGAAGGCGACUUUCUGGUCAUCAUCUGACGCUGAGGUACGAAAGCGUGGGUAGCAAACAGGAUUAGAUACCCUGGUAGUCCACGCUGUAAACGAUGAGUGUUAGGUUCUUGGAAUAAUCUGGGAGCCGCAGCUAACGCAUUAAACACUCCGCCUGGGGAGUACGCACGCAAGUGUGAAACUCAAAGGAAUUGACGGGGACCCGCACAAGCAGCGGAGCAUGUGGUUUAAUUCGACGCAACGCGAAGAACCUUACCAAGUCUUGACAUAAUACGGAGGGAAUUAGAGAUAAUUUCUUACCACUUCGGUGGGCUGUAUUACAGGUGGUGCAUGGUUGUCGUCAGCUCGUGUCGUGAGAUGUUGGGUUAAGUCCCAUAACGAGCGCAACCCCUAUCGUUAGUUACCAUCAUUAAGUUGGGGACUCUAGCGAUACUGCCGGUGAUAAACCGGAGGAAGGUGGGGACGACGUCAAAUCAUCAUGCCCUUUAUGACUUGGGCUACACACGUGCUACAAUGGCAGAUACAGAGGGCAGCGAAAGAGUGAUCUGAAGCGAAACUCACAAAAUCUGUCCCAGUUCGGAUUGCACUCUGCAACUCGAGUGCAUGAAGUUGGAGUUGCUAGUAAUCGCGAAUCAGAAUGUCGCGGUGAAUGCGUUCCCGGGUCU
rnacentral:rRNA from 1 species